CAGGCCUAACACAUGCAAGUCGAGCGGACCAUUCCUUCGGGGAUGGUUAGCGGCGGACGGGUGAGUAACACGUAGGCAACCUGCCUGUAAGAUCGGGAUAACUACCGGAAACGGUAGCUAAGACCGGAUAGCUGGUUUCUCCGCAUGGAGGGAUCAUGAAACAUGGGGCAACCUGUGGCUUACGGAUGGGCCUGCGGCGCAUUAGCUAGUUGGUGGGGUAAUGGCCCACCAAGGCGACGAUGCGUAGCCGACCUGAGAGGGUGAUCGGCCACACUGGGACUGAGACACGGCCCAGACUUCUACGGGAGGCAGCAGUAGGGAAUCUUCCGCAAUGGGCGCAAGCCUGACGGAGCAACGCCGCGUGAGUGAUGAAGGUUUUCGGAUCGUAAAGCUCUGUUGCCAAGGAAGAACGCCUCGGAGAGUAACUGCUCUGAGGGUGACGGUACUUGAGAAGAAAGCCCCGGCUAACUACGUGCCAGCAGCCGCGGUAAUACGUAGGGGGCAAGCGUUGUCCGGAAUUAUUGGGCGUAAAGCGCGCGCAGGCGGUCUUUUAAGUUUGGUGUUUAAGCCCGGGGCUCAACCCCGGUUCGCACUGAAAACUGGGAGACUUGAGUGCAGGAGAGGAAAGCGGAAUUCCACGUGUAGCGGUGAAAUGCGUAGAGAUGUGGAGGAACACCAGUGGCGAAGGCGGCUUUCUGGACUGUAACUGACGCUGAGGCGCGAAAGCGUGGGGAGCAAACAGGAUUAGAU
rnacentral:rRNA from 1 species